UUUGUAGGUGAGGGAUGUGGACGGUUUGUUCCAGCGGGGUUCCUGUGCAGCUUUAGUCUCAGUCACUGACUGUCGCCGCUGCCUUUAGGAAACACCUGCUUCUGACGCCCAAAGGUGGAGCAACGACGACUCAUGGCCGUCCACGAUGAGAUGUUUAAGUUAAAGCCACAGAAAUGUCUCCAGUAAUCACCUCAAGCCACAAAAUCGCCCCCAAAGUGAAGCCAAGAUGAAGAUAAAGCCGAAAAACAAAUGAGAGCUUUUGAUGUAGGAGUGAGGGGACGAGGUCAGUGGACUGAGACGGUGACAGACUGCUGACUUUUACUCACGAGUACAGCUGGUAUGUAAAACAGCUGGAGCUGCUGUGGGCAGGAGGUGUGGACGAGGUUUCAGAAGCAGCUGAGGAAAGACACAGUGAACGCUUUAAUCCAUGGGCCUG